CACAGGUUGACAGGGCUGAUGAUGAGCUCAGACAGUCAGGAAAAAGACUUAGAGAAUGUGAAGUUUUCGGGCUGCCUCGCAUCAGGACCAUACCUACCUAAAGUCAUACCUACCACCCCACCCCCAAACAGCUCGAGGUUUUUACCAAAAGCUUUCUAUAAAUUGUUCCAAUAUUAGAAAAAAAUGUAACGUUUAAUAUUGCAUUUCCAUUCAAUUCAAUUCGAUUUUAUUUAUACAGCACUUGUUACAACAGGUCCACGCCUCUUAUGAGCUGCACCACAGAGAUGCCAAUUAUUGUGGAGACAACAGUGGCAAGGAAGAAAACUUGGAAGGAACCAAGACCCAGUAGACCCGUUUCUAAAAUACAAAAGAACACCUAAGUAAUGUAAUGCUGAGCUGUGUCAGGGUGAUUAACAAGCACUUCAACAUUUGUUACCGUGACUUACUGUUACUGUUACUAUUAUUAUUGAACCAGGAGUUGUGUUUCAGCUGUAUUUAAUUCAAUUGAGGUACAGUGGCAUUCAUAACGACUUUUUUAUUUACAUCAUUUAACAUUAUUUUUAUUUUUUACCAAAAUAAUCGCCAUCUUAUAACGGACGCAGACAUGCACAUAAACCUGCACAUAAGAUAACUUGUCUAAAACGCAGUUAAUCGUUUCAGUGAUGAUCAUAUCUGACCAAGAUUAAUCUGCCCCGUUAUUUUACUGAAACAUUCUGUCAUUUACCAUUGCAGAUGUCACUGACGGGGCAAAGGUGGCCUUCCCCUAAGAGUUGAGCCUAAUUAUACAAUUUGUCUUGUGACUGGGACAGAGCACUAAAAUCUCCAUUGGGACUACUUCUUCACCAGCCCGUCUCCAUCACUGUUUCUCUCACUGCUGCUUUAAAUGCCUGCUUACCAGCCCGUUAUGGAGGAUGGCUCCUGGAACAUGCAGCAUCUUUUGAAAUGGUGUCCUUUCCCAGCAUAAGGCCGCACAAACACUGUCAAGCAUUUACCACCUGGAUGGAACAUGCUUCUAUUGGAACUGCAGCCCUGCAUUUAGAGGCUUUUAAGCAGACCCUGUCAAACACAAGGCGAGUGGUGAGGUGCUAGUUCGGCUCCGAGGUUUCGGCCGUCUGCUUGGCGUGCUGGAUGGGCCAGGUACGAGGGGCUGGCUCCAGUGCUUGCCCGUGGACGACCUUGCUCUCCUCACCCCGUGCUUUGGAAAGCCUCCCAGUCCUGUGGAUCCCACAUUUGGACGUGCACCAAAUUUGGAGGCCCACAGAUGUUGCUGGGAGGCCAGAUAUUAUGUUCAUUUUUUCUCCCCCAGCAGACAAGAAAGAUGAUUCAUAUGUUUUUGGUAUCAAAGGACCCAUGCUCUUAUGUUUUGGUCAUAGCACAGUUUAGAGAAGACAUUGAGAUGUAUCUUAAUAUACACGUUUGUUUGUUUUUUUUAUUGACAAAUAUAUAGCUAUGUAUGUUACAUCAUAUUAUUGUUGAGAAGAUGUCUAUCUUAUUCCCACUAAUUGUUAAUAAGUAAGCUCUAGUAAAUGACACUUCUUGAAAAAAAAAAGAAGCUAAAAUGUAAUGGCUUAUGCUUCAUUCAUUCCAUUCAAUAUCACUACUUACAAUAAUCAUACACCUUUUCCAAUAUUUAAUAUUUAAUCCCUUUACAGCACUCUUGAACAAUUAUAAACAUUUGAUGAAAAGC